AAAAGCUCGUAGUUGGAUCUCAGUUCUAGACGUACGGUCCGCCUUUUAAAGGGUGGUCUACUGCUCGUUCUGAACACGAGUGGCCGGUUUCUCUUGAUGAUCUUCACCGGUUGUCUCGGGUGACCGGCAAGUUUACUUUGAAAAAAUUAGAGUGCUCAAAGCAGGCGUGACGCCUGAAUAAUGGUGCAUGGAAUAAUGGAAUAGGACCUCGGUUCUAUUUUGUUGGUUCUUCGGAACACGAGGUGAUGAUUAAGAGGGACGGACGGGGGCAUUCGUAUUGCGACGCUAGAGGUGAAAUUCUUGGACCGUCGCAAGACGAACUACUGCGAAAGCAUUUGCCAAGAAUGCUUCCAUUGAUCAAGAACGACAGUUAGAGGAUCGAAGGCGAUCAGAUACCGCCCUAGUUCUAACCAUAAACUAUGCCAGCCAGCGUUCCGGCUGUGUUCCUCAAAUGACACGCCGGGCAGCUUCCGGGAAACCAAAAGCUUUUGGGUUCCGGGGGAAGUAUGGUUGCAAAGCUGAAACUUAAAGGAAUUGACGGAAGGGCACCACCAGACAUGGAGCCUGCGGCUCAAUUUGACUCAACACGGGAAAAUUUAUCUGGUCCGGACACAGGAAGGAUUGACAGAUUAAGAGCUCUUUCUUGAUUCUGUGGGUUGUGGUGCAUGGCCGUUCUUAGUUGGUGGAGCGAUUUGUCUGGUUAAUUCCGAUAACGAACGAGACUCUAGCCUAUUAAAUAGACGUCCCUAUGUCUUUUACGAAUGGGGCGGUUCUUCUUAGAGGGACAAGCGGCUUUUAGCCGCACGAGACAGAGCAAUAACAGGUCUGAGAUGCCCUUAGAUGUCCGGGGCCGCACGCGCGCUACAUUGAAGGAAUCAGCGUGUGCUUUCCCGGUCCUACUGGAUCGGGUAACCCCUUGAAUCUCCUUCGUGCUGGGGAUAGGGGCUUGUAAUUGUUCCCCUUGAACGAGGAAUGCCCAGUAAGCGCGAGUCAUUAGCUCGUGUUGAUUACGUCCCUGCCCUUUGUACACACCGCCCGUCGCUACUACCGAUUGAUUGUCUUAGUGAGGUCUUCAGACUGGCGCCCGGAUUGGCCUUCUCGGUUAAAACGGCGUGUCGGAAAGAUGACCGAACUUGAAUUGUUAGAGGAAGUAAAAGUCGUAACAAGUUUCC
rnacentral:rRNA from 1 species